UGCCAGCCGCCGCGGUAAUACGGAGGGUGCAAGCGUUGUUCGGAAUUAUUGGGCGUAAAGCGCGGGCAGGUGGUCUGUUAAGUCGUUUGUGAAAACCCGGGGCUCAACCCCGCGGAAUGCAGACGAUACUGGCAGACUGGAGAUCGGUAGAGGCUAGCGGAAUUCCAGGUGUAGCGGUGGAAUGCGUAGAUAUCUGGAAGAACACCUGUGGCGAAGGCGGUCUCUUGGUCCGAAACUGACGCUGAGGCGCGAAAGCGUGGGGAGCAAACAGGAUUAGAUA
rnacentral:rRNA from 1 species